GUGCUUACUGAACAGCACAUAUGCUGAACUGAGUACAGAGAAGAUGAGCAGGUUCCUGAGCAAAGAGGGCAGGCUAACUCAAGGAGCAGCCAAUAUCCUU
rnacentral:snRNA from 1 species